rnacentral:lncRNA from 1 species
UAAUUCCUGUCAGCUGGAAGCCUUGAGUAGCUCAAACAACACAACUUUCCUCUGAGGGCUGCUUGCUGGUGGGUUCAAGGGCAGUGGUGGGUUUCAGUUUUAAGAAGAUCAUCAGAAGCAUGAGCAUUUUGGAACAAACAGAAAUCCAGGAUCUGUAGUGCUUGUGCCGUCACAGGAGAUCUUUGAAGCACUGUUUGAAGCAGCAGGAGUGUUCUGCACUCUCGGGAGGUGCAUUUGUGCCUUCAGGAUUGCAGACAGAGGAUGUUUUCCCAUCCUGUGCUGACAGAUUUCCUGGCAGAACUAUAUAAUCAGGAGCAGCCAUGGCUGUAGUGCCACAGUGCAAGAGCACCUCCUGCAUGUAGGAACUCCAGGGAGACCCCUUGGGAAGACUUUGGCUGCACAGAUCAGUGUCUGGGUUUGAGGGCAGCUCCAGUGGAAAGUACAAGGAAAAGGAAGUUAAAAGGACCAGGAGAUCUCUGCCCUGUCGUUGAUCAUGAGGAGCAGUGUCACACCUGAGGGCAGGUGAGCAGCUUUAUCCAGCACAGCUGACUUUUAACUGAGAUCCUGGGAUUUAUUUUCA